AAUAAGAUUAUUUUUCAGUUUUUCAAUGUUUUGACUUUUCGUCUUAUUUAAAUUUUUUUACAAUUAAUAUUUUUAUUUUUAUUAGAUGAUAAAAUAUGAAUAGUACUUUAUGCGUGCCUAUCUUUUUAAGUUUUUGAAUAAUUUUUUUAAAUAAGACGAAUAAACGUUGGACACGAAAAAACGAG
rnacentral:pre_miRNA from 1 species